UUUCAAAGCUGCACAUGCAGACUCCAGGCACCAUGACCACUUUAAAUCACUGAAGUGGUCAUGGUGGUUGGAGAAGCCUAUUAUAGCAUUGUUCUCCAGCUCUCUGCAUAGAGUCAUGUUAAGCUAUUACUAAUGAGUCAUGUAUGUCUUUUGUAAGACAGAGCCUGUAUGACACCCUCCAACUCUGUAAUGUCAGGAAUAUAGGUGGUGACACAUUAUAUUUUUAUGAAAG